rnacentral:rRNA from 1 species
AAUACUGGACACUGGGGGCAACCCUGCUCCCGCCAUCCCGCGUGUUUGAAGAAGGUCUUCGGAUUUUAAAGUACUUUAAGUUGGGAGGAAGGGCUUUAGGUUAAUUCCCUCAAGUUUUGACGUUACCAAUAGCAUAAGCACCGGCUAACUCUGUGCCAGCAGCCGCGGUAAUACAGAGGGUGCAAGCGUUAAUCGGAAUUACUGGGCGUAAAGCGCGCGUAGGUGGUUCAGUAAGAUGGGUGUGAAAUCCCCGGGCUUAACCUGGGAACUGCUUUCAUAACUGCUGAGCUAGAGUACGGUAGAGGGUAGUGGAAUUUCCUGUGUAGCGGUGAAAUGCGUAGAUAUAGGAAGGAACACCAGUGGCGAAGGCGACUACCUGGACUGAUACUGACACUGAGGUGCGAAAGCGUGGGGAGCAAAC